UGGGGAAAUUGGCACAAUGGGCGAAAGCCUGAAUGCAGCAACGCCGCGUGAGUGAUGAAGGCCUUCGGGCUGUGAAAGCAUCUGUCUUUUGGGACGAUAAUGACGUACCAAAGGAGGAAGCCACGCUAACUACGUGCCAGCAGCCGCGGUAAUACGUAGGUGGCAAGCGUUGUCCGGAUUUACGGGCGUAAAGGAUGCGUAGGCGGAUUUUUAAGUGAGAUGUGAAAUACCCGGGCUUAACUUGGGUGCUGCAUUUCAAACUGGGAAUCUAUAGUGCGGGAGAGGAGAAUGGAAUUCCUAGUGUAGCGGUGAAAUGCGUAGAGAUUAGGAAGAACACCAGUGGCGAAGGCGAUUCUCUGGACCGUAACUGACGCUGAGGCAUGAAAGCGUGGGUAGCAAACAGGAUUAGAUACCCUGGUAGUCCACGCCGUAAACGAUGAGUACUAGGUGUAGGAGGUAUCGACCCCUUCUGUGCCGCAGUUAACACAAUAAGUACUCCGCCUGGGAAGUACGAUCGCAAGAUUAAAACUCAAAUGAAUUGACGGGGUCAUAGCUGUUUUCCU
rnacentral:rRNA from 1 species